rnacentral:lncRNA from 1 species
UGAUUAUUCUAUUCACUUUCGCAAAGAAGGUUAAUUGUUUACACGUGAAUCACAACCAUCUCUCACUUAGCAAGUGGAAAGAACAACCUAUUUAUAAACUACUAGCACAUGUAUGUUAUGUUCGACAAUUAAUCUAUUACAUGACAUGCAUAUCUACUAGACCAAUAAAUCAAGUAAGAUGCAUGAUGUAAUAUACACGAUCAGACUUCAAUAAUAACAUGUAUGAACAGACUUC